rnacentral:lncRNA from 1 species
CCUUGAUGUGAGGUGUUCAUCUUAAACUGAUCUGAGGGGGCAACUUCGGUCUUAAGUUCUCAGGGCAUAGGAAGGGAAUUCAAGGAAAUCAGCUUUCCAAACGUGCUAAUUUCACCUGCAUACAUUUCAAUUUAAUGUUGCAAAUGUUUCCUGAGGAUCUACUAACUUCAACUGAAGAUAUGCAGGGAAACGAAGAUGAAAAAGAAACAAUCCUGGCCCUAGGAGAGGAGCCACCAACACAGUGCCUACCUUAGCACAUAUAUGGUAAGCAUUCAAUGAGUCACUCAUCGUUUUUAUAUAUUCA